GGGGGGGGGGGGGGGGGGGCGGAGGGGGUGCAGGUGGGGGGGGGGGGGCCUGGUUUUGUGGGGUGCUCGAGUGGCGGACGGGUGAGUGACACGUGAGUAACCUGCCCUUGACUUUGGGGUAACGUCCGGAAACGGGGGCUAAUACCGGCUAGGAGCUCCUGCUGCCUGGUGGGUUUUUGCACGUUUCGGCGGUUGGGGAUGGGCUCGUCGCUUAUCAGGUUGUGUGGGGGGUAGUGGCUUCCCAAGGUUUGGACGGGUAUCCGGCCUGAGAGGGUGACCGGCCACAUUGGGACUGCGAUACGGCCCAGACUCCUACGGGAGGCAGCAGUGGGGAAUAUUGCACAAUGGGCGGAAGCCUGAUGCAGCAACGCCGCGUGCGGGAUGACGGCCUUCGGGUUGUAAACCGCUUUCGCCUGUGACGAAGCGUGAGUGACGGUAAUGGGUAAAGAAGCACCGGCUAACUACGUG
rnacentral:rRNA from 1 species